AUUGAACGCUGGCGGCAUGCCUUACACAUGCAAGUCGAACGGCAGCGGGGGAGGAGCUUGCUUUUCCUGCCGGCGAGUGGCGAACGGGUGAGUAAUACAUCGGAACGUGCCCUGUAGGGGGGGAUAACUAGUCGAAAGAUUAGCUAAUACCGCAUACGACCUGAGGGUGAAAGUGGGGGACCGCAAGGCCUCAUGCUAUAGGAGCGGCCGAUGUCUGAUUAGCUAGUUGGUGGGGUAAAGGCCUACCAAGGCGAAGAUCAGUAGCUGGUCUGAGAGGACGAUCAGCCACACUGGGACUGAGACACGGCCCAGACUCCUACGGGAGGCAGCAGUGGGGAAUUUUGGACAAUGGGCGAAAGCCUGAUCCAGCAAUGCCGCGUGUGUGAAGAAGGCCUUCGGGUUGUAAAGCACUUUUGUCCGGAAAGAAAUGGCUCUGGUUAAUACCUGGGGUCGAUGACGGUACCGGAAGAAUAAGGACCGGCUAACUACGUGCCAGCCGCCGCAGUAA
rnacentral:rRNA from 1 species